ACGUUAAUAAAACANUUUAGUGGUAAAAUCCAACGUUGCCAUCGUUGGGCCCCCGGUUCGAUUCCGGGCUUGCGCA
rnacentral:tRNA from 1 species